CAAAGGUUGCUUAUUCAUUCACAUGGCAACAGGAGUGGGCCUCAGCUCAACAGGACUGAGUGGGAUGAGAGACAGAGAUCGAGGUCUGAACAGAGGCAUGAGGCAGAAGCCAAUGGAAGAGUUCCAGGAGAUGGAAGAAGCAAAGAAAGUAAGCAUUGAAAUGUUCCAGAGGAAGCACUUCAUAGAAUCUAAUUUCUUUAUGAGCUUGGGACAUUGUAGCCUUUGGCUAAGCCUCUGGUCCUUUCCCUCAAGAUUGUGUCAUCCAUUUGGGAAUAUAAUCUAUGCGUGAACAGAGUUUUAAGAUCACAGCACCUACAUAUUGGAAGAACAGGCGAGUUCUGGCUGGUUGGAGCAGACGUCCCCCAGAAGACCGAAGUGUGUGGAGUGGAUUAUACCAAAGAAGGUGAUCCUUUAGCUGCAGUGUGUGGUUGUUCAUCCCCUACAACAUUUAACAGAUGAAAACUUUGAAACAUGGCUAAGCAAUAUCAGAGUAUGGUCAAGAUGGUAGAAUGAUUGAUGAGGAAGGAAACACAAGCUAGGAGAUGCUGCAGCAGUUUGCUCUUGCCUGAGCCCACGAAAAAAGGCAAGAUUUUGCCCCUGCUGAUCUGAGGCCCCAUCUACACUGUUUAAUGCAGUUUGGAGCUACAAACUGAGGUGGCCAGAUAAGAAACUCCCAUUAAGUGUGAGAAAGAAAGCCUCUUAAUGUGCACCAGUGCUCUGUGGUUUGUGUAAUCACCAUCUGGGUCUCCAACUAGUUCCAGGAUAUGUAAUUUACACAGCAAAACCACUUUCUUCAGUACCAGCAUGAAACUGCACUAAAUGGUCAGUGUAUGCAGGGAUAGAGUAGAAAUACUACUUUAACACUUUGGACAAAUCUGAGGGCAUAAUACAAAAGGAGGAGGAGGGAUGAGGAGCUUCGACAUCUAAAAAGUAGCCAAAAAAUUGUGAUGACAAAGGAUUAAUCAUGACUGUCCCUGUUGAAUCAGAACAAUUAGAGGAUAUGGUGGUCGGUAUAGUUGGUGUUGUUUGUAUCCCAGGACAGAAACUUGUAGCAUUCUGACAGUUUUUUUAAAGUAUCCUCUCAUUUACUUCUGAAUUGUAAGAAAAAAGUAUAAUGAAACUCUAAUGGUAACUGAAGAAUGUGGACUGAGAGCUGCAAAUUUUAAGUAAUUUUUCAUAUUCUGUUGUGAUGGGGACCAAAAUACUUGCAUUUUGUUUCUGCAUGUAUGCUUUUGUUAGCAUAUCCUACACUAGAGCCAUGUUGAAUCUUUCUGUCUUUUCAGAGAUUCGUUAUGGUGGAUCUGAAGCACAGGAAAGAAAUAAGAAAACAAUUUCAAAACCAUCCUCAAAAAAUUAAAAAGAAGCAUUGUUGAUUUUUUUCCCCCACUGACUGACAUCAGAUUGGAAAAAUGGCAACAGAGUACAUGUUAUUUAUCCAGGUUAUGGGUGGGAGUCAAGCUGGCCCAUAGGCCAAACAUAGAUCUCCGGGAUUUUCAGAUUCUCCCCAAACCACACUCCCUUAGUAGCCCUGCUCUAGGCUAUAGGAAUUAUUUACUUAUUUGUGCUCUGUUUCCCAACCACAGAGCUAAUUGAGGGAAUCUUGCACAAGUGGGAAAAGGUGAAUGUGCACAUGCAAAUCUGCACUGCCUCAAAGUUGCAUAAAAGACAAAUAUUAGUUUUGUCUCUAACACCAUUCCCUUUGGCUCUGGACACACCCAGUGCUGGAUGAGGGAGGCAGUUCACACUGUCAACUUCAGCAGGAAUAAAGGUCUCCAUUCUUUGUGUGUCCUUGGCUGUGAACGAGUGAGCUCACUUGAUGCAGAGUUAUUGCAUUAUCAAUAAACACAAUAAAAUAACUUUGUGUUCA